UACGGAGGGGCUAGCGUUGUUCGGAAUUACUGGGCGUAAAGCGCACGUAGGCGGCUUUGUAAGUUAGAGGUGAAAGCCCGGGGCUCAACUCCGGAACUGCCUUUAAGACUGCAUCGCUUGAAUCAUGGAGAGGUUAGUGGAAUUCCGAGUGUAGAGGUGAAAUUCGUAGAUAUUCGGAAGAACACCAGUGGCGAAGGCGACUAACUGGACAUGUAUUGACGCUGAGGUGGCGAAAAGCGUGGGGAGCAAACAGG
rnacentral:rRNA from 1 species